GAUGAACGCUGGCGGCGUGCCUAAUACAUGCAAGUCGAGCGAACGGACGAGAAGCUUGCUUCUCUGAUGUUAGCGGCGGACGGGUGAGUAACACGUGGAUAACCUACCUAUAAGACUGGGAUAACUUCGGGAAACCGGAGCUUAUACCGGAUAAUAUUUUGAACCGCAUGGUUCAAAAGUGAAAGACGGUCUUGCUGUCACUUCUAGCUGGAUCCGCGCUGCAUUAGCUAGUUGGUAAGGUAACGGCUUACCAAGGCAACGAUGCAUAGCCGACCUGAGAGGGUGAUCGGCCACACUGGAACUGGGACACGGUCCAGACUCCUACGGGAGGCAGCAGUAGGGAAUCUUCCGCAAUGGGCGAAAGCCUGACGGAGCAACGCCGCGUGAGUGAUGAAGGUCUUCGGAUCGUAAAACUCUGUUAUUAGGGAAGAACAUAUGUGUAAGUAACUGUGCACAUCUUGACGGUACCUAAUCAGAAAGCCACGGCUAACUACGUG
rnacentral:rRNA from 1 species